CCUACGGGAGGCAGCAGUGAGGAAUAUUGGUCAAUGGGAGAGAUCCUGAACCAGCCAAGCCGCGUGAGGGAAGACGGCCCUAUGGGUUGUAAACCUCUUUUGUCGGAGAACAAAACCCGGGACGUGUCCCGGACUGCGUGUAUCGGAAGAAUAAGGAUCGGCUAACUCCGUGCCAGCAGCCGCGGUAAUACGGAGGGUUCGGGCGUUAUCCGGAUUUAUUGGGUUUAAAGGGUGCGUAGGCCGUCCCUUAAGUCAGCGGUAAAAUGCCGGGGCCCAACCCCGGCAGAGCCGCGGAAACUGGGAGGCUUGAGUGGGCGAGAGGUAGGCGGAAUGCGCGGUGUAGCGGUGAAAUGCAUAGAUAUCGCGAAGAACUCCGAUUGCGAAGGCAGCGUACCGGAGCCAGACUGACGCUGAGGCACGAAGGCGUGGGGAUCGAACAGGAUUAGAUACCCCUGUAGUC
rnacentral:rRNA from 1 species